UCGAUACCUGUCCAAAACAGAACGACCAGCGAACGAAAGAUCAUCACUUUCGGCGGGCAGAUUUCCCUUGCGGAUCUCGCGCCUGCCAAUUCCGUGGUUCUGCGCGAUGUUCCCAUGAAUAGUUUCGGCUCGACUGGGUCGCGCGCUCAGCUUCCGGAUAUCACAAAACCCCGGCACGAAAAGUGCCAAGGAACAUGCAACAUAACAGCUUGCAUCCGCUGCCCCGGAGACGGUGUGCGUGCGGAUGCCAAACUGCGAUCUAAAGUCUAAAACGACUCUCGGCAACGGAUAUCUCGGCUCUCGCAUCGAUGAAGAACGUAGCGAAAUGCGAUACUUGGUGUGAAUUGCAGAAUCCCGUGAACCAUCGAGUCUUUGAACGCAAGUUGCGCCCCAAGCCUUCGGGCCGAGGGCACGUCUGCCUGGGUGUCACAAAUCGUCGUCCCCCCAUCCWUCUUGGAUGGUGGACGGAAACUGGUCUCCCGUGUGUUACCGCAUGCGGUUGGCCAAAAUCCGAGCUUAGGACGCCUGGAUCGUCUCGACAUGCGGUGGUGAAACAAAAGCCUAUUCGUUAAGUCGGUCGGUCCUGUCCACAGUGAGCUCCCGAUGACCCAAAGUUCUCAAC
rnacentral:misc_RNA from 1 species